rnacentral:misc_RNA from 1 species
CUCGGGUUCUCGCCAUCUCUUGAAAACGUAUCAGAGAUGCAUAAGCUCCCAAGUUUCCUUUUGAGAGCAGCUCCUCGUGAGUUCCUGUUUCAACAACCUGGCCUUGUUGGAUCACAGCAAUCAUGUCAACAUUUCUAAUGGUGGAAAGACGGUGUGCAACAACUACAGUGGUCCUCCCCACCAUGAGGCGAUCUAAGGCUUCCUGG